rnacentral:rRNA from 1 species
UCAGAUUGAACGCUGGCGGCAGGCCUAACACAUGCAAGUCGAGCGGAAACGAUGGAGUGCUUGCACUCCAGGCGUCGAGCGGCGGACGGGUGAGUAAUACUUGGGAAUCUGCCUGAGGGCGGGGGACAACCACUGGAAACGGUGGCUAAUACCGCAUAAUGUCUACGGACCAAAGUGUGGGACCUACGGGCCACACGCCUUCAGAUGAGCCCAAGCGAGAUUAGGUAGUUGGUGGGGUAAAGGCCUACCAAGCCGACGAUCUCUAGCUGGUCUGAGAGGAUGAUCAGCCACACUGGGACUGAGACACGGCCCAGACUCCUACGGGAGGCAGCAGUGGGGAAUAUUGGACAAUGGGGGCAACCCUGAUCCAGCCAUGCCGCGUGUGUGAAGAAGGCCUUCGGGUUGUAAAGCACUUUCAGUGGUGAGGAAGGCGUUGUCGUUAAUAGCGGCGACGAUUGACGUUAGCCACAGAAGAAGCACCGGCUAACUCCGUGCCAGCAGCCGCGGUAAUACGGAGGGUGCGAGCGUUAAUCGGAAUUACUGGGCGUAAAGCGCACGUAGGCGGUUUGCUAAGCAAGAUGUGAAAGCCCAGAGCUCAACUCUGGAAUAGCAUUUUGAACUGGCAGGCUAGAGUUUUGGAGAGGGUGGUAGAAUUUCCAGU